rnacentral:lncRNA from 1 species
CACAAUACACGGAUUAGAAAAUAUCCGUUACAAACACGGAUUAUAUCACGUUAAUAUUCACUAUUAACAAAUAAAUUUGGUCCAAAAAAUUAAUCAAUCGAUCGAUCAUUUGACCAAAUCCGAAUCCAAAUCCCAUUUCCCAUUCACUCUAAUUUUAAGACUAUUUCAUCUUAAACAAAAACUCAACAAUUUCAUCUGUACAAGUAAAUGCUGCUCUUCAUAAAUUUUCUAUGGCUUUCAUUGAUUCCAUAAGUUAAGGCCUCAUCUUUUCGAACAAAAUUGAGGCUUCACUUCCUAUGUUUCAAUGCUGCAUGUGUUCCCAUGAUGAGGCUUUGGAAAAAUAACAAUUCAUAUUUCCAUCCGUAUAACAACAACCACUUCAAUUCCAAAUUGAGUUAUAUAGAAAUCCUUGUUGAACAUGUUGCUCCAUUUCAUGUUAGACCAAGAAAGUAGAAAUUUAGACGUGACUUAGAGAAAACAUUACUUCGUCUUACUUAAUUAAUUAAGAAAAAGGAGAUCGAAAAACAUGAAGUAGAAAACAGUAAUGACAACUACAUAAGAAAAUUAAAGUUGCAACAUGCAAAUGCAUAAUACUAAUAAGUAAAAGUGGUAGAGUAAAAUCAUAUUAAGUGACUUUAGAAGCACCAUACAUCAUAGUAAAACUCAAUGCAUAAUGAGGAGAUUAAUUACAUAGCAGGUAAAGAAAAAUCCAGCAGAGAUCGCCGGCGCAAAACCAUCGCCGGCCACCAUCGCCGGUGAAGGUGCAAUGUUGUCCUCCGACCCCACGUCCUGAGCCAUCGUCAUCUUCAAGCAAAUAACCAUCAAAAUCAUAAGAAGAAAAAUAUAGGAAACCCUAAGGCAAGCCAUUGAUGACAAUGUUCUUUUCUUUCUUUUUGGGGUAGAAAGUGAUGGAGAUUGGAGAAAGGCAGUAUGUUUAUAGCGAAACAAAGUUUGGAAGUUCAUGGUUGUGUGAUAUUUUAGAGUGACAACAAAGAAGAGGUACAGAUUCUGUUAUUUGCAUGUAUGCCAUAUGGCUAGUGGGAAUUCUUGUUGGAGAAAUGGGUGUCAUAUUAUUAUAGGGUAAGGUUUGACACGUUUUGCUAAAUUAUCAAUCGAAUUUAUGCUUUGUUCCCGUUUCAAUAUUGUUCUUCACAAAAGGCUCUCCCUGUGGAAAUUGUACUUAAUUGUUUCUUUUCUAUUUUAGUUUGUACUUUGGUUGGUGGGAUAAGCUAAGGGAUAACAAUUUCGGGAUAAUAAAAUUAUUUUAUUUUAAAUUUGGUUUAGUAUUAAUUAAUUUGUAUAUGGUAUUUAUUGAUCUAGAGAAACUAUACGACAAUGUCCCUAGGAGGUUCUAUGGAGAUUAAAGGUGUUCAUGUAGCACACAUAGAGUGAUUAAGGACAUGUACCGUGAAGCUAAAAUUCGAAUGAGGAUUAUGGAAGUAGACUCAGAAUAUUUUUCUGUUGUGAUGGGGUUGCACUAUAGGGCUCAACUUUUAGCCCGUUCUUAUUGCCUUAGCGAUGGACACAUCAACGCGCUAUAUUCAAGGGGAGGUGCCAUGGUGUAUGUUAUUCGCGGAUGAAAUUGUACUGAUUGACGAGACGCGAUUCGGUCUUUUUCAGUAUCUUGCUACUGUUAUUGCUUGUUGUUACUGCUUUAUUUCUUCUUUCCUGAGUUGAGGGUCUAUCAGAAACAACCUCUCUACCUUCCGAGGAUAGGGAUAAGGUCUGUGUACACACUAUCCUCCCUAUAUUCUACUUGUGAAAUUCAACUAAUUUUUUUGUUUGUUUGUUUGUAUUCUUGUGUUAAUUGAUUUGAUCAGAAACUAUUUUAUAUUAAAAUGGUAGAAUUAUUUAUCUCAUAAAAAGGAUGAAUUGCUAAUCUCAUGGAAUAUCCCAGCCCACAAGAUGAGGGUAGGACCGAAGGGGUAUCGUCAGCAACUAGUGAAGCAAAAAUCGUUUUUAAAUGGAAAAAUUGGUGAAGAGGGUUUAGAAAUAGGUAAUUAGGAAAAAUAAGUGUAUUUUAGUAUAAAAUUUAUCACUCGAUUAUUGUCAAUCAAUAUACAUUUUAUCUUAAUUUAUUAUGUAACUAAAAUAAAUUAGAGGCCCCUAUAUUAUUGGUAUUUUUUUUUCCAUGAAUUAUUUCACAGUUUUGAUCUGCAAUAUUAAUGACAAGUGCUUGCGAAUAAAAACUUAUUCACACCAAAUAAUUAUUAUGAAUAAUUAUGUUCAAUGCAAUUCCAAAGAGUUCUUAAAAAACUUUUUUUUUUCUGGUCAUCAAUUUUUUUUUUUUUUGGGGUGUGAUUCAGACACAACAAUUCACCUUAAUUAAUCCCAUUGAUAGUUUUGAGGGUUGAUCGAUAUCUCGCCAUCAAUCUUAAAUAAAUGCAAAAUGAUAAAACGCAGUUAACCAUUUCAUAGCAAAAACUCAAAAUAACAAUAUAAUAAUAUACCACAAAAUAAUGAUUUUAUUUUGUUGGUGAUAAUCAUAUAUAUAUAUAUAAUUUGUUACACAAAGAGAAUUUCCUUCAAUUGUUCAUCAUCUUCCCUUUUUUUACCUUACUAAUUGAUCUUCUUGUCCCCACCAUGAUUAUAAUCCAUUUUCCCCUCACUUUGUGUGAACAAAUUUAAUUAGUGCAUGUAAUAAGCGAAGAAGGACAAAAAAGUAGCCCCAACCAAAGUUCCCAGAGCAGGUAAUGCAGCAGUGGCAUCACUUGUUGGUGCAGGGGCAGGUGCAGAAAUUGGGGGCAAUUGAGCCAUAGCUGCACUAAUUGAGCCUGCAACAAUUAGGGUGACACAAGCAAUCUUCUUCAUCUCCAUUUUUCUGUUUUGAAAAAAAAAAAGUGUUUCUUAAAAAUUUGUGUUUGAUUAUUUGUUGCUUUGGUGAAUUGAAUAUGGUUGAGAAAAAGGUUAUAUAUAUAGGUGUGUGUAGAGAUAUUUAGUAGAAUUUUAC